UACAGGUAGCCGUAAGUCGUAACAAGGUAGCCGUAAGUCGUAACAAGGUAGCCGUAGAGUUUGAUCCUGGCUCAGAACGAACGCUGGCGGCAGGCCUAACACAUGCAAAUCGAACGAGAAGCCACCUUCGGGUGGUGGACAGUGGCAGACGGGUGAGUAACGCGUGGGAACGUGCCUUUCGGUUCGGGAUAACCCAGGGAAACUUGGGCUAAUACCGGAUACGCCCUUCGGGGGAAAGAUUCAUUGCCGAAAGAUCGGCCCGCGUCGGAUUAGCUAGUUGGUGGGGUAAAAGCCUACCAAGGCGACGAUCCGUAGCUGGUCUGAGAGGAUGACCAGCCACACUGGGACUGAGACACGGCCCAGACUCCUACGGGAGGCAGCAGUGGGGAAUAUUGGACAAUGGGCGCAAGCCUGAUCCAGCCAUGCCGCGUGGGUGAAGAAGGCCUUAGGGCUGUAAACCCCUUUCAGCGGGGCAGAUAAUGACGGUACCCGCAGAAGAAGCCCCGGCUAACUCCGUGCCAGCAGCCGCGGUAAUACGGAGGGGGCUAGCGUUGUUCAGGAAUUACU
rnacentral:rRNA from 2 species